UACGACUACAUAUCAGGCAUAUCAAUAAGCGGAGGAAAAGAAACUAACAAGGAUUCCCUUAGUAACGGCGAGUGAAGCGGGAAGAGCUCAAAUUUGAAAUCUUCAAGGUUCUACCUUGACGAAUUGUAGUUUAAAGAAGUGUUUUCUGUUAGAUGAGUAGCAAAAGUUCCUUGGAAUGGGACAUCAUAGAGGGUGAGAAUCCCGUAUUUGGUUAUUCAUUCUAGCUUUGUGAUACACUUUCAAAGAGUCGGAUUGUUUGGGAAUGCAGUCCAAAAUGGGUGGUAAAUUUCAUCUAAAGCUAAAUAUUGGCGAGAGACCGAUAGCGAACAGGUACCGUGAGGGAAAGAUGAAAAGAACUUUGAAAAGAGAGUUAAACAGUACGUGAAAUUGUCAAAAGGGAAGCGUUUGACACCAGUGUUGUUUUUCCGAAAAUCAAUUACGAAUGGCUUGAUUUUGUGUUGUAUUGACCUUAUCAGCUUUCUGCACUUUUUUCGAGUCUUUCUUAAUGCACUUUUUGGUUAACAAGUCAACAUCAAUUUCUUUUGUUGUAAAAGAGUAUUCGGAAGGUGGCUUUCUUUUCGGAGAAAGUGUUUAUAGCCCUAUACUUCUACAAUCGGAGAGAUUGAGGUCUGCAGCGUAGAUCCUUCGGGGUUAGAUACACUUGUGCUAAGUUGUAGCUUUUCAUAGACAACUUGUUGACUAUGUUUAGUCAUGCGGCUUACUCGCUUGUGCUAUUUUACCUACGCUUAGGAUGUUGAGUAGCGACAUACGCAC
rnacentral:rRNA from 1 species